rnacentral:rRNA from 1 species
UACGGGGGGGGCAAGCGUUGUUCGGAAUUACUGGGCGUAAAGGGCGCGUAGGCGGCCCGCUAAGUCGAACGUGAAAUCCCCGAGCUCAACUCGGGAACUGCGUCCGAUACUGGUGGGCUUGAAUCCGGGAGAGGGAUGCGGAAUUCCAGGUGUAGCGGUGAAAUGCGUAGAUAUCUGGAGGAACACCGGUGGCGAAGGCGGCAUCCUGGACCGGCAUUGACGCUGAGGCGCGAAAGCGUGGGUAGCAAACAGG